rnacentral:rRNA from 1 species
AGUGAACGCUGGCGGUAGGCCUAACACAUGCAAGUCGAACGGCAGCACGGUAAGAGCUUGCUCUUACGGGUGGCGAGUGGCGGACGGGUGAGGAAUACAUCGGAAUCUACUUUUUCGUGGGGGAUAACGUAGGGAAACUUACGCUAAUACCGCAUACGACCUACGGGUGAAAGCAGGGGAUCUUCGGACCUUGCGCGAUUGAAUGAGCCGAUGUCGGAUUAGCUAGUUGGCGGGGUAAAGGCCCACCAAGGCGACGAUCCGUAGCUGGUCUGAGAGGAUGAUCGGCCACACUGGAACUGAGACACGGUCCAGACUCCUACGGGAGGCAGCAGUGGGGAAUAUUGGACAAUGGGCGCAAGCCUGAUCCAGCCAUACCGCGUGGGUGAAGAAGGCCUUCGGGUUGUAAAGCCCUUUUGUUGGGAAGGAAAAGCAGCAGGUUAAUACCCCGCUGUUCUGACGGUACCCAAAGAAUAAGCACCGGCUAACUUCGUG